GUGUAUGGUGAUCAUAGCAAUGCAAGGUAUUGGGCUCGAUAAUCCCUUUGAAGACGACUUAAUUGCAUCCGGGUAUUGUAAGUGUUGAGAGUAGGCUUAGUCUUACGAUCCACUGAGAUUCAUCCCGUGUUGCGCCGAUUUGU
rfam:Perkinsus marinus ATCC 50983 gcontig_1104296571080, whole genome shotgun sequence.